UACGUAGGGUGCGAGCGUUGUCCGGAAUUACUGGGCGUAAAGCGUGCGCAGGCGGUUUUGUAAGCCAGAUGUGAAAUCCCCGGGCUUAACCUGGGAACUGCACUUGUGACUGCAGGGCUGGAGUGCGGCAGAGGGGGAUGGAAUUCCGCGUGUAGCAGUGAAAUGCGUAGAUAUCUGGAGGAACACCGGUGGCGAAGGCGGCAUUCUGGACCGAAACUGACGCUGAGGCGCGAAAGCCAGGGGAGCAAACGGG
rnacentral:rRNA from 1 species